GCUGAGGGUGCUUAACUCUCACCUGUGUGCAUUUCUAGUCAUUUGCUAAUACCAAGUCUAUUUGUCUGUCUGUUUGUGUGCUAAUAUGCUGGUUCGGGUGAUCCUGCAGACCUCACUGGUCCUGUGGCUGGCACAGAGCACCAUACAGGGAGGAGUUAGACCACAGACUAGAGCCCUGGGAAGAUUGGCGAGUCGAGGUCCUGGUAUCAGUGCAAAGUCUGGAGUGGCUGGUAUUCUUGGAGCCCGUGGCUAUGGGGCAGGCAAGCCAGGACAGACAGGUG